UACGAAGGGGGCUAGCGUUGCUCGGAAUCACUGGGCGUAAAGGGCGUGUAGGCGGUCCGCUAAGUCUGAUGUGAAAGCCCGGGGCUCACCCCCGGAAGGGCAUUGGAAACUGGCGGACUCGAGUCUCGGAGAGGAAGGUGGAAUUCCUGGUGUAGCGGUGAAAUGCGUAGAUAUCAGGAGGAAUACCGGUGGCGAAGGCAGCUCGCUGGGACGUGACUGACGCUGAGACGCGAAAGCGUGGGGAGCAAACAGG
rnacentral:rRNA from 1 species